rnacentral:rRNA from 1 species
GACGAACGCUGGCGGCGUGCUUAACACAUGCAAGUCGAACGAUGAAGCCGGAGCUUGCUCUGGUGAAUUAGUGGCGAACGGGUGAGUAACACGUGAGUAACCUGCCCUUGACUCUGGGAUAACUGCUAGAAAUGGUAGCUAAUACCGGAUACGACCCUCGGAGGCAUCUCCAGGGGGUGGAAAGAAUUUCGGUCAAGGAUGGACUCGCGGCCUGUCAGCUAGUUGGUGAGGUAACGGCUCACCAAGGCGACGACGGGUAGCCGGCCUGAGAGGGGGACCGGCCGCACUGGGACUGAGACACCGCCCAGACGCCUACGGGAGGCAGCAGAGGGGAAUAUUGCAAAAGCGGCGCAAGCCUGAUGCAGCAACGCCGCGUGAGGGAUGACGGCCUUCGGGUUGUAAACCUCUUUUAGUAGGGAAGAAGCGAAAGUGACGGUACCUGGAAAAAAAGCACCGGCUAACUACGUGCCAGCCGCCGCCGUAA